rfam:Ixodes scapularis strain Wikel colony gcontig_1108378215490, whole genome shotgun sequence.
GCAGUCUUGGCCGAGUGGUUAAGGCGAUAAACUAGAAAUCCAUUGGGCUCUCCCCGCACAGGUUCGAAUCCUGUCGACUGCG